rnacentral:lncRNA from 10 species
GCCAGGGCAGCGUGGGACGCUACGGCGGAUAUGGCUGCAGAGCGGCCGGCUGGGAUCUUAGAUAGGAGGGGUGGAUUUGCAAGGCCUAGAAUAGCUGGGGAGUGGUUUCCCCGCGGAAUCGGCCUCCCUGCCGCUCCUGCUUUGUACUGUGACGCUCAGCCUGUGAUGACUGGUGUGGAAUCCGCUGAGCCACCUUGGCCUAAGGAGACUUUACCACUCUGAGAUUGUAAAUCUGUAAAAUAGAGAUGUAGGAUUAGCCCAUACGGUAGUUGUGGUAAAUACUGUGAGACAAUAAGGGGCCUGGGACACAGCAUUCAAAUGGGAAUAAUGAAGGUCAAGACUGUGAUUCCUGUAUCUUUGACGCUCUCGGUAUAAGCACCGUCGUGGGCACAGGGCAGUGGCCUUUAUGCAGGAGUUUAAGAGGGAAUGAAGGAAUGAAUGGGCAAACUCUGGAGUUCCCAAGUAUUCUCUCCAGGAGCUGUUUCCAUUCUUUUCGUUUCCAGCAGAUUCAAGAGGCAAUUGUUGGAAUGUAAAAAGAGCACGGGACUUGGAGUCAAAUACUUAAGUCUACCAUCAAGUAGUUGUUAAGAAUUAAACAACAAUUUUUGUGUACCCAGUUAAAUGUGGGCUGCUUAGGAAUGAUGACUGUGUCUUAAUGAUCUCUGUAUUCUUAGUGACAUGUAGAAUCAUUGUGCCUGACACAUAGUAUGUACUCAGGAAAGAAAUGGAAAAUGUGGUUUUAGCAUUGAAGGCCGGGAGAGAGGGUCUAACAGACUACAAGCCCUGCCAGGAGCAGAGUAAGGGAAACAGAGGAGAAAAGUGUUUUUAGUCUGUGCCUGAAUGUAUUUACAUCUGUUUGUAGCCCAAAAGCCAAAAGCAUACAUACGCUUGGCUUUUCUGUAGCUAUGUUUAUGGCUUUACAGCAGAUUUUAUGGAGCUGCAAUUACUUUGAUCAUGAGGGACUGAUGCUAGUGGAUUUACUUCACCAAAUGGAACUCACUUUGUGGCUUCUGAAGAAGGGACCUUUGUGGACUGUCAUGGAGUAGUUAAGAGUGCAGGCUCUGAUUUAGUGAUCAGAGUCUGCAUUGUCAGGAAUGGGACAAAGUGAAGUUAUGUGGCACUUGAUAGGAUGCCCUGAGAAGAUUGCAACAUCACCCCUGUGAUAUUCCUGCUGAAGAUCCAUAACCUGGAUGUAAUCAUGAGGAUAUAUCAGACAAACCCACGUAAAGAGACAUGCUGUAUACAAAACUGUAAUCUUAGAAAGUGCCAAGGUCAUGAAAAUCAAAGAUAGACCCUGGAACUGUUCCAAACUGGAGGGGACCAAAGAGGCAUGACAACUAAACACAACACAUGAUUCUGAACUGGAUCUUUUUGCUUGAAAGGAAGUUACAGGGACAGUUGGAAAAGUUUAAAUGGGGCCUACAAUGCCGUGGUAAUGAUGUGUCCGUGUUAAUUUCCUGAUUUUCAUGGUUGCCUGUUAAGUUACAUCAGAGGAUGUUCUUGUUUGCUGGAAAGUAAAUCAAUGUAUUUGGCAGGGGAUAAGGCAUCAAAUGGUCACCUUAAUUUCAAAUUAUUACAGGGAAAAUGUUUCUCUCUGUACUUAAUAACUUUUUUGCAAUUUCUUAAAAUGAAAGCUCUGGAGUAAAAACUUCAAGGAUCCAAA